rnacentral:rRNA from 1 species
UGUAGGAGGUUAUACAGGCAAAUCCGUAUAACAAUACUCCGAGAACUGAAAGGCUUUUUGAAGUCUUCGGAUGGAUAGAAGAACCCCUGAUGCCGUCGAGCCAAGAAAAGUUUCUAAGUUUAGCUAAUGUUGCCCGUACCGUAAACCGACACAGGUGGGUGGGAUGAGUAUUCUAAGGCGCGUGGAAGAACUCUCUUUAAGGAACUCUGCAAAAUAGCACCGUAUCUUCGGUAUAAGGUGUGGUUAGCUUCGUACUAGGAUUUACUCCGAAAGCGAAGAAACUUACAACAAAGAGUCCCUCCCGACUGUUUACCAAAAACACAGCACUCUGCUAACUCGUAAGAGGAUGUAUAGGGUGUGACGCCUGCCCGGUGCUCGAAGGUUAAUUGAUGGGGUUAGCAUUAGCGAAGCUCUUGAUCGAAGCCCGAGUAAACGGCGGCCGUAACUAUAACGGUCCUAAGGUAGCGAAAUUCCUUGUCGGUUAAAUACCGACCUGCAUGAAUGGCGUAACGAGAUGGGAGCUGUCUCAAAG